GAUGAACGCUGGCGGCGUGCCUAAUACAUGCAAGUCGAGCGAACAGACGAGGAGCUUGCUCCUCUGACGUUAGCGGCGGACGGGUGAGUAACACGUGGAUAACCUACCUAUAAGACUGGGAUAACUUCGGGAAACCGGAGCUAAUACCGGAUAAUAUAUUGAACCGCAUGGUUCAAUAGUGAAAGACGGUUUUGCUGUCACUUAUAGAUUGAUCCGCGCCGCAUUAGCUAGUUGGUAAGGUAACGGCUUACCAAGGCAACGAUGCGUAGCCGACCUGAGAGGGUGAUCGGCCACACUGGAACUGAGACACGGUCCAGACUCCUACGGGAGGCAGCAGAAGGGAAUCUUCCGCAAUGGGCGAAAGCCUGACGGAGCAACGCCGCGUGAGUGAUGAAGGUCUUCGGAUCGUAAAACUCUGUUAUUAGGGAAGAACAAAUGUGUAAGUAACUAUGCACGUCUUGACGGUACAUAAUCAGAAAGCCACGGCUAACUACGUG
rnacentral:rRNA from 1 species